GGCACCAGCUGCGGGGAAGGGAAGCUUCCUGGAGAGAGGAGGGAAGUGUUUGUUUCUCCUCCCAAUGACCCCCAUCCACAAGAGAAAGGCCCUGUGAACACAGGGAGAAAACAGCCACCUGCAAGCCAGAGGAGAGACCUCAUCAGAACGCAACCAUGUGGCAACCUGAUCUGGGACCUUCAGAACAAAGACAAUAAAUUUCUGUUGUUUAAGCCA